CCCUUAGAUGUUCUGGGCCGCACGCGCGCUACACUGAUUCAUGCAACAAGUUUUGUCCUUGGCUGAUAGGCCUGGGUAAUCUUUGAACGUGAAUCGUGAUGGGGAUAGAUGAUUGCAAUUAUUCAUCUUCAACGAGGAAUUCCUAGUAAACGCAAGUCAUCAGCUUGCAUUGAUUACGUCCCUGCCCUUUGUACACACCGCCCGUCGCACCUACCGAUUGAAUGGUCCGGUGAAAUCUUCGGAUCUGAGAGAUGUCUGAUUAAUUUCGGACGUCUUUUGGAAAAGUUGCUUAAACCUUACCAUUUAGAGGAAGGUGAAGUCGUAACA
rnacentral:rRNA from 1 species